rnacentral:rRNA from 1 species
AUUGAACGCUAGCGGGAUGCCUUACACAUGCAAGUCGAACGGAGUGGCGAACGGGUGAGUAAUGUAUCGGAACGUGCCCAGUAGCGGGGGAUAACUACGCGAAAGCGUAGCUAAUACCGCAUACUAUUGGAGCCGCCGAUAUCGGAUUAGCUAGUUGGUGGGGUAACGGCCUACCCAGGCGACGAUCCGUAGCUGGUUUGAGAGGACGACCAGCCACACGGGGACUGAGACACGGCCCAGACUCCUACGGGAUGCAGCAGUGGGGAAUAUUGGAAAAUGGGGGAAAGCCUGAACCAGCCAUCCCGCGUGUGGGAAGAAGGCGUUCGGGUUGUAAAGCACUUUUGGCAGGAAAGCGGUACCUGCAGAAUAAGCACCGGCUAACUACGUGCCAGCAGCCGCGGUAAUUC